rnacentral:lncRNA from 1 species
AUCUACAGUGAACUUAUUCUGUGGCGUGUAGACCCCAUUGGACCUUUGUCAUAUACUGGAGGAGUGUCAGAAUUGGCUCGAAUUAACUCUUUACAUACCUCAGCCUUCUCUAAUGUGGCAUGGCUUCCAACUCUUAUUCCUAGUUAUUGUCUUGGCACAUACUGCAAUUCUGCAAGUGCUUGCUUUGUUGCAUCUGAUGGCAAAAAUCUAAGACUCUAUCAAGCUGUGGUAGAUGCAAGAAAAUUAUUAGAUGAACUAUCAGACCCAGAAGCCUCAAAACUUAUUGGAGAAGUGUUUAACAUUGUGAGCCAACAGUCCACUGCUCGACCAGGAUGCAUUAUUGAACUCGAUGCAAUAACCGACCAAUGUGGCUCAAAUACACAGCUACUGCACGUGUUUCAAGAAGACUUCAUUAUUGGAUACAAACCACACAAAGAAGAUAUGGAGAAAAAGGAAAAGGAA